rnacentral:rRNA from 1 species
ACGAACGCUGGCGGCAUGCCUCACACAUGUAAGUCGAACGAGACCUUCGGGUCUAGUGGCGCACGGGUGCGUAACGCGUGGGAACCUGCCCUUAGGUUCGGAAUAACUCCCCGAAAGGGGUGCUAAUACCGGAUAAUGUCCUCGGACCAAAGAUUUAUCGCCUUUGGAUGGGCCCGCGUUGGAUUAGCUAGUUGGUAGGGUAAAAGCCUACCAAGGCGACGAUCCAUAGCUGGUCUGAGAGGAUGAUCAGCCACACUGGGACUGAGACACGGCCCAGACCCCUACGGGAGGCAGCAGUGGGGAAUAUUGGACAAUGGGCGAAAGCCUGAUCCAGCAAUGCCGCGUGAGUGAUGAAGGCCUUAGGGUUGUAAAGCUCUUUUACCCGGGAUGAUAAUGACAGUACCGGGAGAAUAAGCUCCGGCUAACUCCGUG